UCUUGAGAAGGAGAGAAAAGCGCGAGCGGACAGGGAGCCUCAGUCGAUCCCAGAGCGCAGACUCCAGCUCUGGAGGGGGAAACCCAGCUCGAGAAAGAACGCCGAGCGCAUCGAAUGAAACGGAGUUUGCUGAGCCGCGGGAUGGGAAAAGGCACGGUGUCUAUAUGUAUUGAGCAUGUUUUCCGCUGUGAGGCUUGGGAAAGAAGUUUUACGAACAUUAUACCGUUUACUCCUCACUGCGUACCUGUGAGCAAGUGAGCCACUCCCAUCAUGUGCUUACAGUGAGUGCAUCGGAGGAAGUAGUGAGAGAGGAGGCCAGAACAGUAAUUUAGAGCCAGGUCAUGGAAGACCGUCAAUACAAAGGUGACGAGUCUGUGGGUGAGCAGUGGAAUUGAAAACCGCCAAGAGGACAUGUAGAUAGGGCAGGACAGAGGACCGUGCCGUUUCCCUAGGCUUGUUCUGCAAAACGCCACCAUCAAGAAGCCAACAUAUGCCCGGAAAGCUUGUUUUCCCUGCUCCCUCCUGCGACCUCUCAGAGCUUCGGAUUCCUCACCUGUAAAUUGGGGCUGGGACUCUCUCAGGAUCACCGUGUUUUACGGAAGCCUGGGUUUCCUCCAAAGCAGGGCCUCCCGAGGCUGGUGAGUGAGUCCCCUG